rnacentral:rRNA from 1 species
AUUGAACGCUGGCGGCAUGCCUUACACAUGCAAGUCGAACGGCAGCACGGGAGCAAUCCUGGUGGCGAGUGGCGAACGGGUGAGUAAUAUAUCGGAACGUGCCCGGUCGUGGGGAUAACGUAGCGAAAGCUACGCUAAUACCGCAUACGAUCUACGGAUGAAAGCGGGGGAUCGCAAGACCUCGCGCGAUUGGAGCGGCCGAUAUCAGAUUAGGUAGUUGGUGAGGUAAAGGCUCACCAAGCCGACGAUCUGUAGCUGGUCUGAGAGGACGACCAGCCACACUGGGACUGAGACACGGCCCAGACUCCUACGGAGGCAGCAGUGGGAAUUUGGACAAUGGNGCAAGCCUGAUCCAGCAAUGCCGCGUGCAGGAUGAAGGCC